UAGAGUUUUGAUCAUGGCUCAGGACGAACGCUGGCGGCGUGCCUAAUACAUGCAAGUCGAACGAACUCUGGUAUUGAUUGGUGCUUGCAUCAUGAUUUACAUUUGAGUGAGUGGCGAACUGGUGAGUAACACGUGGGAAACCUGCCCAGAAGCGGGGGAUAACACCUGGAAACAGAUGCUAAUACCGCAUAACAACUUGGACCGCAUGGUCCGAGUUUGAAAGAUGGCUUCGGCUAUCACUUUUGGAUGGUCCCGCGGCGUAUUAGCUAGAUGGUGGGGUAACGGCUCACCAUGGCAAUGAUACGUAGCCGACCUGAGAGGGUAAUCGGCCACAUUGGGACUGAGACACGGCCCAAACUCCUACGGGAGGCAGCAGUAGGGAAUCUUCCACAAUGGACGAAAGUCUGAUGGAGCAACGCCGCGUGAGUGAAGAAGGGUUUCGGCUCGUAAAACUCUGUUGUUAAAGAAGAACAUAUCUGAGAGUAACUGUUCAGGUAUUGACGGUAUUUAACCAGAAAGCCACGGCUAACUACGUGCCAGCAGCCGCGGUAAUACGUAGGUGGCAAGCGUUGUCCGGAUUUAUUGGGCGUAAAGCGAGCGCAGGCGGUUUUUUAAGUCUGAUGUGAAAGCCUUCGGCUCAACCGAAGAAGUGCAUCGGAAACUGGGAAACUUGAGUGCAGAAGAGGACAGUGGAACUCCAUGUGUAGCGGUGAAAUGCGUAGAUAUAUGGAAGAACACCAGUGGCGAAGGCGGCUGUCUGGUCUGUAACUGACGCUGAGGCUCGAAAGUAUGGGUAGCAAACAGGAUUAGAUACCCUGGUAGUCCAUACCGUAAACGAUGAAUGCUAAGUGUUGGAGGGUUUCCGCCCUUCAGUGCUGCAGCUAACGCAUUAAGCAUUCCGCCUGGGGAGUACGGCCGCAAGGCUGAAACUCAAAGGAAUUGACGGGGGCCCGCACAAGCGGUGGAGCAUGUGGUUUAAUUCGAAGCUACGCGAAGAACCUUACCAGGUCUUGACAUACUAUGCAAAUCUAAGAGAUUAGACGUUCCCUUCGGGGACAUGGAUACAGGUGGUGCAUGGUUGUCGUCAGCUCGUGUCGUGAGAUGUUGGGUUAAGUCCCGCAACGAGCGCAACCCUUAUUAUCAGUUGCCAGCAUUAAGUUGGGCACUCUGGUGAGACUGCCGGUGACAAACCGGAGGAAGGUGGGGAUGACGUCAAAUCAUCAUGCCCCUUAUGACCUGGGCUACACACGUGCUACAAUGGAUGGUACAACGAGUUGCGAACUCGCGAGAGUAAGCUAAUCUCUUAAAGCCAUUCUCAGUUCGGAUUGUAGGCUGCAACUCGCCUACAUGAAGUCGGAAUCGCUAGUAAUCGCGGAUCAGCAUGCCGCGGUGAAUACGUUCCCGGGCCUUGUACACACCGCCCGUCACACCAUGAGAGUUUGUAACACCCAAAGUCGGUGGGGUAACCUUUUAGGAACCAGCCGCCUAAGGUGGGACAGAUGAUUAGGGUGAAGUCGUAACA
rnacentral:rRNA from 2 species